rnacentral:tRNA from 1 species
GGUGAGAUGGCCGAGUUGGUUAUGGCGCCAGGUUAAGGCUUUCUUAACAGUUAUAUUCCUGGUCACGAAAGUGGCGUGGGUUCGAGUCCCACUCUCAUCA